AUCGGCCAGCGGAAGGGAAGGAUCAUAGAAGAUGGAACUGUAAACGGCCAGAGGGCGAGGUCAAAUGUCAUAUCCUUGCGGAGACGACACAAACCGGGAAUUAGAUUGAUCACCCCCAGGACCCUGUUCGGCCGACGGCUUCGGUUUGCUCACGGUUCCAUUCCGAUGUUUCCAUUUCUACCGCCUUCACGGAGAUCGUUUGCUGCAGAAAAAGCCCUCCCAGUUCAACACUCAAAUCGCAAGUGCUCAGAUAAAGAUGACUUUUUUUUUUUAA